rnacentral:tRNA from 1 species
GGAUUGUACCUUAGUGGUUGAGCGCUUGCCUCUCAUGCAUGAGGCACUGGGUUCAAUCCAUAGCACCA